UACGUAGGGGGCAAGCGUUGUCCGGAAUCAUUGGGCGUAAAGAGCGUGUAGGCGGCUUGGUAAGUCUGCUGUGAAAGUCCAGGGCUCAACCCUGGAACGCCGGUGGAAACUGUCAAGCUUGAGUCCGGAAGAGGCGAGUGGAAUUCCUGGUGUAGCGGUGAAAUGCGCAGAUAUCAGGAGGAACACCAAUGGCGAAGGCAGCUCGCUGGGACGGUACUGACGCUGAGACGCGAAAGCGUGGGGAGCAAACAGG
rnacentral:rRNA from 1 species